rnacentral:rRNA from 1 species
GUAGUCAUAUGCUUGUCUCAAGAUUAAGCCAUGCAUGUCCAAGUACAAGCCUCACUAAGGUGAAACCGCGAAUGGCUCAUUAAAUCACACCUAAUCUACUGGAUAGUUAACAGGUACUUGGAUACCUGCGGUAAUUCUGGAGCUAAUACAUGCGAAAAGCCUCGAACUUACGUGAGAGGUGCUUUUAUUAGAUCAAAACCAAUCGGCUUCGGCUGUACUCAUGGUGACUCUGAAUAACUUUGGGCUGAUCGCAUAGCCUUGAGCUGGCGACAUAUCCUUCGAAGGUGUGCCCUAUCAACUUUCGACUGUGGCAUAGACGCCCACAGUGGUUUUGACGGGUAACGGGGAAUCAGGGUUCGAUUCCGGAGAGGGAGCCUUAAAAACGGCUACCACAUCUAAGGAAGGCAGCAGGCACGCAAAUUACCCAAUGACCGAAGGUCGAGGUAGUGACGAAAAAUAACGAUAGAGGACUCAUCCGAGGCCCUCUAAUUGGAAUGAGUACACUUUAAAACCGUCCCCGAGGAUCUAUUGGAGGGCAAGUCUGGUGCCAGCAGCCGCGGUAAUUCCAGCUCCAAUAGCGUAUAUUAAAGUUGUUGUGGUUAAAAAGCUCGUAGUUGGAUCUCAACAGCCUUGAAGCGGUUAACUUUGUAGUUUUACUGCUUUAUAGGCUGUGCUUUUGCUGGAGUUUAGGGGUGCUCUUGAUCGAGUGUCUCUGGAUGCCAGCAUGUUUACUUUGAAAAAAUUAGAGUGCUCAAAGCAGGCUACAUGCCUGAAUAUCGUGCAUGAUAAUAGAAUAGGAUGUCCGAUCUAUUUGUUGUUUCGGGACUCGACAUAAUGAUAAAAUAGGGACAGUCGGGGGCAAUUGUAUUCAAACGACAGAGGUGAAAUUCUUGGACCGUUUGAAGACAAACUACUGCGAAAGCAUUUGCCAAGAAUGUUUUCAUUAAUCAAGAACGAAAGUUAGAGGUUCGAAGGCGAUUAGAUACCGCCCUAGUUCUAACCAUAAACGAUGCCAGCUAGCGAUCUGCCUGCGUUUUUACUGUAGACUGGGCAGGAAGCUUCCGGGAAACCAAAGCAUUUGGGUUCCAGGGGAAGUAUGGUUGCAAAGCUGAAACUUAAAGGAAUUGACGGAAGGGCACCACCAGGAGUGGAGCCUGUGGCUUAAUUUGACUCAACACGGGAAAUCUCACCAGGCCCGGACACGGGAAGGAUUGACAGAUUGAUAGCUCUUUCUUGAUUCGGUGGGUGGUGGUGCAUGGCCGUUCUUAGUUGGUGGAGUGAUUUGUCUGGUUAAUUCCGAUAACGAACGAGACUCUGUCCUGCUAAAUAGUUUCUACUUCUCUUUUGAGUAGAAAUUUCUUCUUAGAGGGACUGGUGACUCUUAGUCACACGAGAUUGAGCAAUAACAGGUCUGUGAUGCCCUUAGAUGUUCUGGGCCGCACACGCGCUACACUGAAUAGAUCAGCGUGUCACCCUUCCCGAAAGGGACGGGUAAACGCUUGAACCCUAUUCGUGGUAGGGAUCGGGGCUUGCAAUUGUUCCCCGUGAACCAGGAAUUCCCAGUAGGCGCAAGUCAUAAGCUUGCGUCGAUUACGUCCCUGCCCU